rnacentral:miRNA from 1 species
ACUUCUAGACAAUCUGUUUCGCUCAGUGCCAUGCCCCGAUGAUUCUGUCACACCCCAACUGAUGGCGGAAUCAUCGGGGCAUGGCACUGAGCGAAACAGAUUGUCCAGAAG